rnacentral:lncRNA from 8 species
AUGGAGAGCCGUGAGACUUACCAGAGACAGGUGAUGUCCAUCUGCAGCAUCGCCUCAGGAAUCAGUUUUCUCGGAGUGGCGUGCAUGGCUCUAUAUUGCCGCAACAACAGUGCUGCAAAUCUCAUGGGUCCUCUCCUCCUGAAGGGGACAGCAGUCUGCCAGCUGGCACACCCACAGCAGGUCCACCUAUUCUCAACAGAGCACUCUCCAAAGGGAAACGCUUCAGGUACUUGUACAGUAGAAAUUCUCCUCUCGUUCUUCCCCCACCUCUAGUUUAAAUGGGCCGCUCCAGUUACAGAAGUGGAUGCAGCCAGGUAAGACAUUUAUUCAACCCCAAAAUGGCACAAUAUGUUAUUGGAAAAAAAACUGUGCUUUCAUGGAAUGUAAAAAAGAUUUAUGGUAAUUGUAAUUGGUAAUAAACACGUAUUUAGGCUCCGUUGCAAAGCACAAAGGCCCUUAUCUGCAUCAAAAGCAGUCUGAAUCGGAACAUUUCCGUUUGAUUUACAGUUUUACGAAGUUAGCGGCUAGCAUGAAAAUCACACUGAUGGCUUCACAACAGAUGGGGAAAUGUAAACUCAGCAAAAAAAGAAACGUCCUCUCACUGUCAACAGCGUUUAUUUUCAGCAAACUUAACAUGUGUAAAUAUUUGUAUGAACAUAAAAAAAUACAACAACUGAGAAAUAAACUGAACAAGUUCCACCGACAUGUGACUAACAGAAAUGGAAUAAUGUGUCCCUGAACAAAGGGGGGGGUCAAACUCAAAAGCAACAGUCAGUAUCUGGUGUGGCCACCAGCUGCAUUAAGUACUGCAGUGCAUCUCCUCCUCACGAAGUGCACCAGAUUUGCCAGUUCUUGCUGUGAGAUGUACCCCACUCUUCCACCAAGGCACCUGCAAGUUCUCGGACACUUCUGGGGGGAAUGGCCCUAGCCCUCACCCUCCGAUCCAACAGGUCCCAGACGUGCUCAAUGCGAGUGAGAUCCGGGCUCUUCGCUGGCCAUGGCAGAACACUGAACACUGUCUUGCAGGAAAUCAGGCACAGAACGAGCAGUAUGGCUGGUGGCAUUGUCAUGCUGGAGGGUCAUGUCAGGAUGAGCCUGGAGGAAGGGUAACACAUGAGGGAGGAGGGAUGUCUUCCCUGUAAUGCACAGGAUUGAGAUGGCCUGCAAUGACAACAAGCUCAGUCCGAUGAUGCUGUGACACAUCGCCCCAGACCAUGACGGACCCUCCACCUCCAAAUCGAUCCCGCUCCAGAGUACAGGCCUCGGUGUAACGCUCAUUCCUUCGACGAUAAACGCGAAUCCGACCAUCUGGUCCAGCGACGGUGGGUUUGUGCCCAUAGGCGACGUUGUUGCCGGUGAUGUCGGGUGAGGACCUGCCUUACAACAGGCCUACAAGCCCUCAGUCCAGCCUCUCUUGGCCUAUUGCGGACAGUCUGAGCACUGAUGGAGGGAUUGUGCGUUCCUGGUGUAACUCGGGCAGUUGUUGUUGCCAUCCU